GUCCAAUACGUGGAACCCUGCUUCAAGGGCACCCUGGUCCAGGCUGACCUGGACAACCGAGAGCACUUCAAGUUGCUGGUUGAGGAGCUCCAGGUAAAAGGAGAGGGGAAAGUCAAGAAGGCCAUGAAGGAAUCCUUCAAAAUCCUCAAUGAGGCUGCAUCGUUGGGUCAGGGCAGUCUGUGUAACCAGGCCAUCAUGCUGAUCACUGACGGAGCCAUGGAGGAUUAUGAGGAAGUGUUUCAGGAGUUCAACUGGCCAGAACGCAGGGUGCGUGUUUUUACUUACCUUAUUGGUCGAGAGGUGACCUUCGCUGACACUGUGAAGUGGAUUGCCUGCAACAAUAAAGGU